rnacentral:rRNA from 1 species
AGCGGAUGAAGGGAGCUUGCUCCCUGAUUCAGCGGCGGACGGGUGAGUAAUGCCUAGGAAUCUGCCUGGUAGUGGGGGACAACGUCUCGAAAGGGACGCUAAUACCGCAUACGUCCUACGCGAGAUAGUGGGGGCUCUUCGGACCUCACGCUAUCAGAUGAGCCUAGGUCGGAUUAGCUAGUUGGUGAGGUAAUGGCUCACCAAGGCGACGAUCCGUAACUGGUCUGAGAGGAUGAUCAGUCACACUGGAACUGAGACACGGUCCAGACUCCUACGGGAGGCAGCAGUGGGGAAUAUUGGACAAUGGGCGAAAGCCUGAUCCACCCAUGCCGCGUGUGUGAAGAAGGUCUUCGGAUUGUAAAGCACUUUAAGUUGGGAGGAAGGGCAUCAACCUAAUACGUUAGUGUUUUGACGUUACCGACAGAAUAAGCACCGGCUAACUCUGUGCCAGCAGCCG